rnacentral:miRNA from 1 species
UGUACCUCAAUGGCUGGAAGGAGAACCUUCCAGUCGGCGAGGUACAUGUACCUCGCCACCUGGAACAAAGUCCUUGCAGUCGACAAGGUACAUGUACCUUGUUGACUGGAAGGUUUCCUUCCAGCCAUUGAGGUACA